UCUGACCCCCUCGGGGGCCCGAGUUGUAAUUUGAAGAGGGUGUUUCGGGCGAGGGGCCGGCCUAAGUCCCUUGGAACAGGGCGUCAUAGAGGGUGAGAAUCCCGUAUGCGGCCGGUGACCGGACCCAUGUGAAACCCCUUCGACGAGUCGAGUUGUUUGGGAAUGCAGCUCUAAAUGGGUGGUAUAUUUCAUCUAAAGCUAAAUACCGGCCAGAGACCGAUAGCGCACAAGUAGAGUGAUCGAAAGAUGAAAAGCACUUUGGAAAGAGAGUUAAAAAGUACGUGAAAUUGUUGAAAGGGAAGCGCUUGCGACCAGACCUGUCGUCGGGUGAUCAGCCGUCGUUCUCGGCGGUGCACUCGCCCGUGCGCAGGCCAGCAUCGGUUCGGGAGGUUGGAUAAAGGCCCCGGGAAUGUAGCUUCCUUUGGGGAGUCUUAUAGCCCGGGGUGCAAUGCGGCCAGCCCGGAUCGAGGACCGCGCUUCGGCAAGGAUGCUGGCGUAAUGGUCGUAAGCGGCCCGUCUUGAAACACGGACCAAGGAGUCUAACAUCUAUGCGAGUGUUUGGGUGUCAAACCCGUGCGCGGAAUGAAAGUGAACGGAGGUGGGAACCCCUCGAGGGCGCACCAUCGACCGAUCC
rnacentral:rRNA from 1 species